rnacentral:rRNA from 1 species
UUAACACAUGCAAGUCGAACGGACCAUACACGCAGCUUGCUGCGUGUAUGGUUAGUGGCAGACGGGUGAGUAAUGCAUAGGAAUCUACCUAGUAGUAUGGGAUAGCCACUAGAAAUGGUGGGUAAUACUGUAUAAUCCCUGCGGGGGAAAGAUUUAUCGCUAUUAGAUGAGCCUAUGUCAGAUUAGCUAGUUGGUGGGGUAAUGGCCUACCAAGGCGGUGAUCUGUAGCUGGUCUGAGAGGAUGAUCAGCCACACUGGAACUGAGACACGGUCCAGACUCCUACGGGAGGCAGCAGUGGGGAAUAUUGGACAAUGGGCGCAAGCCUGAUCCAGCUAUGCCGCGUGAGUGAGGAAGGCCUUAGGGUUGUAAAACUCUUUCAGUAGGGAAGAUAAUGACGGUACCUACAGAAGAAGUCCCGGCAAACUCCGUGCCAGCAGCCGCGGUAAUACGGAGGGGGCAAGCGUUGUUCGGAAUUAUUGGGCGUAAAGGGCAUGUAGGCGGUUUGGUAAGUUAAAGGUGAAAUACCAGGGCUUAACCCUGGGGCUGCUUUUAAUACUGCAGGACUAGAGUCCGGAAGAGGAUAGCGGAAUUCCUAGUGUAGAGGUGAAAUUC